CGUGUAGGCGGUUCGAUCAGUCAGGCGUGAAAGCCCCGGGCUCAACCCGGGAACUGCGUUUGAAACUGUCGAACUUGAGUUCGGGAGAGGGUAGUGGAAUUCCCAGUGUAGAGGUGAAAUUCGUAGAUAUUGGGAAGAACACCAGUGGCGAAGGCGGCUACCUGGACCGAUACUGACGCUGAGGCGCGAAAGCGUGGGGAGCAAACA
rnacentral:rRNA from 1 species